rnacentral:rRNA from 1 species
GUCCUAACCAAAUCUCGUGCCAGCAGUUGCGGUAAGACGAGGAGGGCAAGCGUUAAUCAUCAUAAAUAGGUCUAAAGGGUCCGUAGAUGAAUUAGUAAGUCUCCUAACAAGAGAAACUACUAGUUUAGAGUAUUCUAGAGAAUUUCUAGUACUUAAAGUGGAUGGAUGAAAUCAAACGAUACUUUAAGGACAGUUAAGUGAAGACAAGAAUUCAUAGAAAAACUGACAUUGAGGGACGAAGGUCAGGGUAGCAAACCGGAUUCGAUACCCGAUUAGUCCUGACAGUAAACGAUGAAUGUUAAAUUAAUAAAAUUAAUUAAAGUGAAGACUAAAACAUUCCACCUGGAGAGUACAUUCGCAAGGAUGAAAUCCAAGACAUUAGGCGGUUACAGGCAUCAGCAGUUAAGC